rnacentral:rRNA from 1 species
UACAGAGGUCUCAAGCGUUGUUCGGAUUCAUUGGGCGUAAAGGGUGCGUAGGUGGCGUCGUAAGUCAGGUGUGAAAUCUCGGAGCUUAACUCCGAAACUGCAUUUGAUACUGCGGUGCUUGAGGACUGGGAGAGGAGACUGGAAUUUACGGUGUAGCAGUGAAAUGCGUAGAGAUCGUAAGGAAGACCAGUGGCGAAGGCGG